UUGACCUCGGAUCAGGUAGGACUACCCGCUGAACUUAAGCAUAUCAAUAAGCGGAGGAAAAGAAACCAACAGGGAUUGCCUCAGUAACGGCGAGUGAAGCGGCAACAGCUCAAAUUUGAAAUCUGGCUCCCCUUGGGGGUCCGAGUUGUAAUUUGGAGAGGAUGUUUCUGGCGCGGCGCCUUCCGGAGUUCCUUGGAACAGGACGCCACAGAGGGUGAGAGCCCCGUACGGUCGGCCGCCAAACCUUCAAGAAACUCCUUCGACGAGUCGAGUAGUUUGGGAAUGCUGCUCAAAAUGGGAGGUAAAUUUCUUCUAAAGCUAAAUACCGGCCAGAGACCGAUAGCGCACAAGUAGAGUGAUCGAAAGAUGAAAAGCACCUUGAAAAGAGGGUUAAACAGAACGUGAAAUUGUUGAAAGGGAAGCGCCUGCGACCAGACUCGCGCCCCGCGGACCAGCCGGCGUUCUCGCCGGUGCACUCCGCGGGGUGCGGGCCAGCAUCGGUUUUUCCUGGGGGAGAAAGGCCGCGGGAACGUAGCUCCUUCGGGAGUGUUAUAGCCCGUGGCGCCAUGCCCCAGGGGGGACCGAGGACCGCGCUUCGGCAAGGAUGCUGGCGUAAUGGUCGUCGGCGACCCGUCUUGAAACACGGACCAAGGAGUCAAGCAUUGGGGCGAGUGUCUGGGUGCCAAACCCGCACGCGAAAUGAAAGUGAACGCAGGUGAGAGCUUCGGCGCAUCACCGACCGAUCCUGAUGUCUUCGGAUGGAUUUGAGUAAGAGCCCCACCGCUUGGACCCGAAAGAUGGUGAACUAUGCCUGUAUAGGGUGAAGCCAGAGGAAACUCUGGUGGAGGCUCGCAGCGGUUCUGACGUGCAAAUCGAUCGUCAAAUAUGGGCAUGGGGGCGAAAGACUAAUCGAACCAUCUAGUAGCUGGUUACCGCCG
rnacentral:rRNA from 1 species